rnacentral:rRNA from 1 species
UACGAAGGGGGCGAGCGUUGUUCGGAAUUACUGGGCGUAAAGGGCGCGUAGGCGGCCGAUCAAGUCAGAUGUGAAAGUCCUGGGCUUAACCUGGGGACUGCAUUUGAUACUGAUUGGCUUGAAUGCAGGAGAGGAUAGCGGAAUUCCCAGUGUAGAGGUGAAAUGCGUAGAUAUCGGGAGGAACACCAGUGGCGAAGGCGGCUUCCUGGCCUGCAACUGACGCUGAGACGCGAAAGCGUGGGGAGCGAACCGG